rnacentral:rRNA from 1 species
UCAAUAAGUCUAGCAGAAUGGUUUUGGGAAAGCCAGCCAGAGAGGGUGAAAGCCCCGUAAGCGAAAGACGAGUUGACAUGGCGGUAUCCAGAGUACCACGAGACACGAGAAACCUUGUGGGAAUGAGCGGGGACCACCCCGUAAGGCUAAAUACUUCUUAGUGACCGAUAGCGCAUAGUACUGUGAAGGAAAGGUGAAAAGGACCCCGGGAGGGGAGUGAAAGAGAACCUGAAACCAUAUGUUUACAAGCUGUGGAACAUCUUUAUAUGAUGAACCGCGUACUUUUUGUAGAACGGUCCGGCGAGUUACGCUGGCUGGCGAGGUUAAGCACUGAAGGUGUGGAGCCGAAGGGAAACCAAGUCUGAAUANNNNNNNNNNGGGAAACCAAGUCUGAAUAGGGCGUGAAGUCAGUCAGAGUAGACCCGAAACCGGGUGAUCUAUCCAUGUCCAGGUUGAAGUUGCCGUAAAAGGCAAUGGAGGACCGAACCCACAUCCGUUGAAAAGGGUGGGGAUGAGGUGUGGAUAGGGGAGAAAUUCCAAUCGAACCCGGAGAUAGCUGGUUCUCCUCGAAAUAGCUUUAGGGCUAGCCUCAUACGAGUCUUGCGGAGGUAGAGCACUGAAUUCUUAAGGGGGCGUCAAAGCUUACUAAGAGAUAUCAAACUCCGAAUGCCGCGUAGAUGAUGUAUGGGAGUCAGACUGCACGAGAUAAGUUGGGUAGUCAAAAGGGAAAGAGCCCAGACCUACAGCUAAGGUCCCAAAAUGUGUGUUAAGUGGAAAAGGAUGUGGGAUUUCGAAGACAACUAGGAUGUUGGCUCAGAAGCAGCCAUCCAUUNNNNNNNNNNNNNNNNNAGUGCGUAAUAGCUCACUAGUCGAGAGGUCCUGCGCCGAAAAUGUCCGGGGCUGAAACACACUACCGAAGCUUAGGAAUUAACGAAUGUUAAUUGGUAGAGGAGCAUUCUUAAAGAGACGAAGCUGUACCGAAAGGAGCAGUGGAUUUUUAAGAAGAGAGAAUGCCGGAAUGAGUAGCGAGAGGAAGGUGAGAAUCCUUCCGGCCGAAUAUCUAAGGUUUCCAGCGUAAAGCUGAUCUGCGCUGGGUAAGUCGGGGCCUAAGGCGAGGUCGAAAGACGUAGUCGAUGGAUAACAGGUUGAAAUUCCUGUACUAUGAUAUAACAGAACUGUGGGGACGCAGGGAGAGAGCGCGAGCCGGGAACGGAAAGCCCGGCGCAAGCGAGGUACCGGUCUGUCAGGAAAAUCCGACAGGCAACGGGAAGACGUGAUGCGGACCGAAAAAGAGUAGGGAAGAGCGUGAGCUAACUGCCAAGAAAAGCCGCUAUUGUUUAUAUCAUACCCGUACCGUAAACCGACACAGGUGGAUGAGGAGAGAAUCCUAAGGCCGACGGGAGAAGCAUUGUUAAGGAACUCGGCAAAAUGACUCCGUAACUUCGGGAGAAGGAGUGCCAUGCGAAUGGCCGCAGAGAAUUGGCCCAAGCAACUGUUUAGCAAAAACACAGGUCUAUGCAAAACCGAAAGGUGAGGUAUAUGGGCUGACGCCUGCCCGGUGCUGGAAGGUUAAGGGGAGAGGUUAGCGCAAGCGAAGCUUUGAACUUAAGCCCCAGUAAACGGCGGCCGUAACUAUAACGGUCCUAAGGUAGCGAAAUUCCUUGUCGGGUAAGUUCCGACCCGCACGAAAGGCGUAAUGAUUUGGGCACUGUCUCAACAAUGCACCCGGUGAAAUUGAAAUACCAGUGAAGAUGCUGGUUACCUGCGCCAGGACGGAAAGACCCCAUGGAGCUUUACUCCAGCUUGAUACUGGGAUUCGAUAUUGCAUGUACAGGAUAGGUGGGAGACUAGGAGACGGUAACGCCAGUUGCCGUGGAGUCGAUGUUGGGAUACCACCCUUGCAGUAUUGGGUUUCUAACCAGCAGCCGUGAUCCGGCUGGGGGACAAUGUCAGGUGGGGAGUUUGACUGGGGCGGUCGCCUCCGAAAGGGUAUCGGAGGCGCUCAAAGGUUCCCUCAGAAUGGUUGGAAACCAUUCGAAGAGUGCAAAGGCAGAAGGGAGCUUGACUGCGACACCGACGGGUGGAGCAGGUACGAAAGUAGGACUUAGUGAUCCGGUGGUAUAAAGUGGGAUUGCCAUCGCUCAACGGAUAAAAGCUACCCUGGGGAUAACAGGCUUAUCACUCCCAAGAGUUCACAUCGACGGAGUGGUUUGGCACCUCGAUGUCGGCUCAUCGCAUCCUGGGGCUGAAGUAGGUCCCAAGGGUUGGGCUGUUCGCCCAUUAAAGCGGUACGCGAGCUGGGUUCAGAACGUCGUGAGACAGUUCGGUCCCUAUCCGGCGUGGGCGUAGGAUAUUUGAGAGGAGCUGUCCUUAGUACGAGAGGACCGGGAUGGACUGGCCGCUGGUGUACCUGUUGCAUCGCCAGAUGCAUGGCAGGGUAGCCAAGCCGGGAAGGGAUAAACGCUGAAGGCAUCUAAGCGUGAAGCCCCCCUCAAGAUAAGAUAUCCCAUAACGUCAAGUUAGUAAGACCCCUUGAAGACGACGAGGUAGAUAGGGCAGAGGUGGAAGUGUGGUAACACAUGGAGCUGACUGUUACUAAUAGGUCGAGGGCAU